UACGUAGGUGGCAGGCGUUGUCCGGAUUUACUGGGCGUAAAGGGCGCGCAGGCGGCUCAUCAAGUCUGGGGUGAAAUCUCCCGGCUCAACCGGGAGGGGUCUCUGGAUACUGAUGGGCUUGAGGAAAGCAGAGGAAAGCGGAAUUCCCGGUGUAGCGGUGAUAUGCGUAGAUAUCGGGAGGAACACCAGUGGCGACGGCGGCUUUCUGGGCUUUUCCUGACGCUGAGUCGCGAAAGCGUGGGGAGCGAACCGG
rnacentral:rRNA from 1 species